CAGUUGUAGACGUAUUUUUCUCACUACAUCGGUGUUUCGGGUCUGAACACUUGUCAUAGCGGCCAAGAAGUCGCGCAUAGUGCCCAUUGUCACAUUGAUGCUCGACCUUUGAUGUGUCGAAAGUACAUUUACUCGUACGACUGACGUCGGGUCGGAGACGGAGCAUCUUAUUAUUGGUUUGGAGGAUCAUUUGAGUGCAAUUUAUGCAAUUCGUACCUUUUAUAUCGAAGUAAUCCACAAUUG